rnacentral:rRNA from 1 species
UACAGAGGUCUCAAGCGUUGUUCGGAUUCAUUGGGCGUAAAGGGUGCGUAGGUGGCGUGGCAAGUCUGAUGUGAAAUCCCGGGGCUCAACCCCGGAACUGCAUUGGAUACUGCCAUGCUAGAGCGCUGGAGAGGAGACUGGAAUUUACGGUGUAGCAGUGAAAUGCGUAGAUAUCGUAAGGAAGACCAGUGGCGAAGGCGAGUCUCUGGACAGCCGCUGACACUGAGGCACGAAGGCCAGGGGAGCAAACGGG